AAAAAAGAAAGGAAGAAAGAAAAAGAAAGAAAGAACAGACAUGACACUGCAAGUAGAAAUGUCAAUCUGGGGGGGGGGGGGGAAGGUCUCAAGAUAAUUUUAAUCAGCUGGAAAACACAGGGACAUGUACAAUGAACUCAUGUUUGGGGACUUCAGUUGAGGAACACUGGGUGCAUUUGAGGAUCCUUAUGAGAUGCUAACGACAAUAUUCUUCCAAGGACGUGAACCUAACCAACAGCAAUACUGUGGUUCGCUGUUGCUGACUAUUCAGCCAUUUAGGAGACUUCAGAAUUUAAGAAGUAAUAUGAAAAACAUCCCAUAUUAAAAAAAAUAUUCCUCUGCCAUACCUCCAAAAAGGUUUAAAAAAAAGUUCUAAAGAACUAAAUAAUUGUAUUCAGUUGAAUACUGAGGUAGCUUGAUCUUGAAAGCUUUGUAUCCUUGCAUUUUAUUUGCAUUAUUAGAGCUCUAGAAUAAGGAGGUUUAUGCUUUAAAUUUCUGAUCUCUUAUCUGUAAUAGUCCUAGUAAACAUUAGCCUCAUCCAGAAAUUUCCAGUGGGGCAGGGAACACCAUUUACAUGGAAACUUGAUGGCCCUAAAUCUGUCCUAAUAACUAGUCACCGUUACUUCCUUCGAGAACCAUUCUUAAUUUCUCCAGGCUCAAUAAGUGAUUCUGAUGUGUUUCAAUAACCUUUUUUCAUAUCUCCAUAAUGGCACUUUUUACACAGCUUUCUAAUUAUGUCUUUUUUGGCUUAUUCCCCUCUCUAGCUGUGAGCUCAUAAAGUAAUCUCUUUCAUCACUGAUUUCCCAGCACUUACUAUGCACUUCGGUUGAAGGAAUGAAAGAACAAAUGAAUGAGUGAAUGAGCUAAUUCAAUUACUUCUGUUGCAUUUUGAAGGUGCGGGGUGAGUCUGCCUAGAAUUGGGAUGAAGCCAAACUUGCUCUAAAGAAUGAGUUAUAUAUAAUAACAUGGCACAAUAAUAAUGCAUAACAUUUUUUAAUCCAUAACAAAUUAAUUUCCUCAUUUAACAAUUACAGCACCCCCAUAAUUAUGUAUUAUUAUUUCCAUCUUGCAGAUGAGAAAGAUUGUGGCACAUAGAGGUUAAUUACCCAAGAUCUAUGAUCUCUUAUGUGGCAGAGCAAGAUACUCAAUUUGAUACUCAAUCCAUAUAUCUAGGGUGCACAUUCAUAUCCCACUGAGCUAUAAUGCCUUCAACCAUACUCAGGAUUAGGAAACAGGGAAGAAAGCAUUUCUUAAAUUUAGGGGACAGGAACAACAUGGCAUUUAUAACUGAGAUGAGUCUCCUCCUCCUCUUAACCAUGGCCAUGAUGGAUUCAUGUUAUAAUCUUCCAAAACAGAGCUAAUAUUAAGCAAAGAUGCACCAGUAUGGUUGUCCCAUCCACUAACAAGCAUCCAAUCUGAUUGUUCAGAUUAUACUUAGGAUCAAUUCUGAAUGGUUUGACCUGUGCUAUAUCAUUUGUUAUAUAUAUUACCCUAAAAUAACAUCAAACAAUAUAAAAUAGAGUUUACUCCUCAAAAACACCAUCGGGCACCUCUCAAGUUUUCAUAUAGAUCCCUAUGAUGACAAAACGGGUGGGAAAGCAUUCUCCUCCCUUGUAUACUUAACACAAUGUCAUUCAGCACAUAUUCUGUGGAUAUAUUCUUGAAAUAUAUCCUAUAUUUGAAGGGCACCAUAUUUUAUGACUCUGCUCUGGCACUUUCAGGGUUCAAGAAUAUCAGCAGGGCUAUGGCAGUGGCAGCUAUGUCUAAAAGGAAGCACUUGGCUGUAAUCCCUGGAGGCAGAGCCAAGACCCCUUCACUCAACUAUGUAAGCAUCAAAGGUAUCCACAACAGAUGGAAAUACCACAGGGGGCUAAAACAGAAAAACAAGAAGAUGGAGAAUAUCACCUGGUGACUGAUGGCACUUCAUGAGUACAUGUGAAAUAUCCACUGGUACCUCUCAAACAAAUUGGAAAGACUGCAAAGAGAUGGAGAUACUGCAGUAGAUGGGGUGAGGAAGAUACUGCAAUGGGUGGAGAAAUACAGUUAGUAAAAAUCUUGAAAGAGAGAAUUGGGGCAAAUAAAGAAAGGCUGGAUUACCAUCAGUAAUAACUGAAAAAUUGGAAAAGAUAGUCAUAACCAUUUUAUUCUCUAUAGUACCACCACACAGUCCUGGUUUCUGCAGUGUAUCAUCAUUUCCGAAAUUCAGAUGGAGUUAUUCCUUCUACUUUAUUCUUCUUUAGAAAAAAAAAAGUUUAAGCUAGUCUAGCUCCUCUGCUUUUCUACAUAAAUUUUAGAGUAAUUUUGUCUAAAUCUACAAAAAAAUCUUGCUAAUAUAUUUACAUAUGUAUGCUAAUUUGGGGAGAAUUGACGUUUCCUAUUCUUUAUCAUAUUGAGUCUUUCAAUCUAUGGAUGUGAUAUGCCUCUCCAUCUAAGAUCUUUGAUUUCUUUCAUCAAUAUUCUGUAGUUUUUCUGUACAUACAGCCUGCAUAAAUUAUUAAAUUUAUACCUAUUUCACUUCUGAAUGGUUACAAAUGCUAUUGUUUACUUAAACUUGAUUUCUACAUUUUUAUUCACAGUGAAUAGAAACA